UCGCUCCCGUAUUGGGCAGAAAUAGAGACAAAAAAAAUCAGGUUCCAAGCGUCUUGUAUUCUUCCCCCACGCACGCGACCUCCUCUCGUUCCACAAGCCAACGCAACCGCCGCCUCCUUGCCUCCGCCUCUUUCUCCGGGGGCCUUGCAGCUGCAGCGGGAUGGGAGUCAAGGGGGCGAGCGGGAUGGACGGCCAGCUGGUUUCUUCGCCAGAUCUGCAGCCCAGGGGCGACUCCGGACCGGGGAGUGGCGGCAGUGGCCAGGCCUAGUGGUGACGGGACAAUGAAGUGGUCGGAGGCGCUGCAUCGGCGGCAAGUUGGUCUGCAACGACAGCAAGACGAGGGAGAUCGUGCACCCGCGGUGCCAAAGCUCAAGGGCCAUUAGGGAGCUGAACUCAGAUGUAUCCACCGUGCAGGACAAUGCCUUGGAGCUCCUGCUAUGUGGCUGUGGUUCUGGUCUUCUUUCCUGUACUUAAAUCUCGUGUUUGUUUGAUCUUAUAGGCUUCUUCAUAUUUUGCAUAUUCAUCAAGACGUGGCAGUCUACUCUGCUAUUUUGGCUAUCAUGGUCAAAAUAGCAGUAUGGAAUAAAUGAGACUUCCGGUCAAGCUACUGAUAUUAAGGUGUUCUUAUGUUUUUUUGGUGGGCUUUCAAGCCACUUGUGUUUGCAUUUUGUCCAAAACUCAUGAAGAUUGAAGGAUCUUCAGAAGAAUAACCGGCAUAGCAUAUGGGUGCACGUGUGGAGCCAGUUCAGAGCAUACGUAGUAGUAGCAGUCUCAAGGUAAUGCAUUACAGGGCAUGUACAAUUUUGAAAUUGUAAAAUUCCACUAUGGCACCAAGGUGCUGUCUUUUGCUCUCCUCCCUGCAAAUCUAUGCUUAUUUCCUGAUAUAUAUGUAGCUUCUUAUAUAAUUAAUAGACUGUAUUAUGAGUGUAUUCGUGUUCUAAAAUCAACAAUGGUGGUAUCUUGGUAGAACUAAUGCAUUUCCUUAUGAUUUACUAUCCUGACUUAAAAGAUAUUGACUGAUUUUACAGCUGCUGUGCACAUAAUACGCUGCUAUAUGUUUCGUAGUAUUAUCCUUCUAAGAACAAGUACUGGCGCUCUGUUUUGCUAAUCCAAAAGGUGCAGCUUGUUAUUGUCCUUCAACUAUGCUUCCAGCAUAUAUGUGUUUUAACUUCUUGAUCCUUGUUUUGCUAUGCUUAACCUUUCAUACCCAGCUUCUUGGAUAAACUAAUUGUAGAAUUUCUUACCUUUGCCAUGCCUUGCUUUGCAUGCUUCAAGAAGCUUUUCAGAAUAUUCAGUUAAUUGUGCUGGUUGUUCAUAUCCUUAGCUGUUUUGCAGCUUAUCUGUCAAGUAGGUUUUACACUUUUGACAACUGGGAUAAUCAUGCUGCAAUUGCAUGCGAUGCUACUUCUAUAUUGCCGUGCUCUGAAAUAUAUUUUCAAAGGCAUAACCGAUUGGUCAAAAUAUACAGCUUGAGAUACUUUCAGUUUAGUUCAUAUCAUAUAUGAUUUUAGUUUGUCGCACGGUAUUUUUUUUAAAAAAAUAUAUUAGCUAUCAAGGCAAGGAUAAGACAUCAGGACAAAGAAGAGUUACCCUAUGCGUUUUUGGUGAUGUUGCAGAACACUCUUGAGAAGCGACAGCUAGGUAUUAUGACGCAUAUCUUCCUUCUCUGUUCAAAGCUUGCACAAGUGAAAACCCUGAUGUUAUACAAUGUGGAGUACAAUGGCUCCUACGGCUCGGCUUCGCGGCCGGGAUCAGGCAUCGCUGGAUCGGUGGCACCAAAGGUGGGUUGUGGAAGACUGCAUCGGGGAGCAUCGAGCCAUCGACCGAACAAGGUCUUAGAGUCGUUUAUGAUCCCGUAGGCCUCCGACAACAUCAAUAAUAAGGAUAGGAGUUGUCUGCUUCAUAUCGCCUCUGUCUCCACCCACGUUUCAGUUUGCAGGACGUGUUUGAGGGUGGCUUCUGCUUGUUCAUGAAGGCAACUAAGAAGGAGAAUUUGAUUAAAUUUCUUGAAGGAAAGAAAGAUUUUAUUUUCAGGCAGGUAUGAAACUGUGAAUAUCCUGUAGUUCAUGUUGAGGGUGGCUUCUGCUUGUUCAUGAAUGCAUCGUAAAGCCUUGACAGCAGUGUAGGUGUUCUUUGUGUUGUUCAUGUUGAGGGCAUUGAUGAUGAGUUGCUAGAGCGUCUUGAUUGGUUGGGGAACCUGGCUAUUUAUGCUUCUCAAUUUUCAUAUUUGUAUUGGAACUAUUUACUAAAUUAUAUGCCGACACAAGUUUAGUAUCUUUUUGAUAAUAUAUUAGUUACACAUCUGAUCUAUGUCAGUUCGUUGUUGUCCAAGACAAAAUGUUUUUAUUUGAACACCAUACAUACUUAUCGGCAUAACAAAACACAACUAAUGCAUACCCAUAAUAAGCAUUAAUCUGUACUUUUGAUUUUAAGGUCUGAGUCGAUCUAAAUUGCUCAGUUGAUAGCUCUGUGCUAUACUUUUUGUAAAAAAAAAUAUGAAUUAGGACUCCAUCGCUUUGAUUUGUCGAAGCAACUAAGUUGUUGUUUCUCGUCAUGUGGUUGGGAGCUUUUCUUGAGCCUUUGUUUGCUUUAUGACAUUGAGCUCUUUGAAAGGAGGCGAGAAGUAUUUUGAGAUCUUCCUCCUGAAGAACAUCGUGUUAGAACAUGCCCAGAUUAGUUGUUGUGCGUGUGGUGUUCGUGCUACUGGAGGUGUGCGUGUGUGCUAGAUCUGUGGUGUGAGCCUACGCCAAUAUCAGACCUUGCAACACCUUCCUGUCUAAGGGGGGGGGGGGGGGGGGGGGGGGGGGGGGGGGGGGGGGGCUGGCGCCGUUCCGGUCGUGGUUCGGCAACCUGCAUCUGCAUCGGGAGGACGGCGGUGCCGAUGGUUUGGGAGCUGAAGCCGUGUGGCGAGGAUGGCGGUGGCGGAGGAGGAAGGGGGCGCCGGCGGCUUUCGGUCACAUGGGUCAAAGGAGAGCAAGGGGACGGCAGCACCUUCUUCCCGUCUUCACCUAGAGUGCUAGCUACCUUUCAAACAUGGAAGCUUAGGAAAAAGCAUGUAAACCGAAGACAGGAAGCUUACCUGUUCGAUUCAGCAGAUUUGGUUUGCUCUAUUUGUUAAGAUCUUUCUCUGCUGCACGAGAACUUAGAGAUGUAACAUCAAUGUGGUGGGCAUAGAUCAGAAAGGCAAGUUCUUGUCAAAGGAAAUCUUCACCUACGUAAAGGUAACCUCAAUAGCCUCUCUUAAAUUUUGCAACAGGCAGCCGUUGCUGUAGCAUGGAGCUCUAGAGUAGUUAGUCUAGAUUCAACUCUAGAGUAGUUAGUCUAGAUUCAACUGAGUUACAAGUGCACAUUUGUCCAGUUAUUGCUACCUUUUUCUGGAAGAUUUUAGACUUACUAUCCUGUGUUAAUUUAAGGACUGGCUAAGUUUUGUUGUUCGUUCCCGUUCUCGGGUGCUGUCCGGUGGGUCAGUUGCGCUCUUCAGCGCCUUCGUCUUUGUUGUCUCCUACACCUUUGCCUACACCCUCACCCACUACCACGGCUCCUGCAGCAAGGUAACAGGUCUCUGCCUCGCCCGAUCUCCUUCGCCAGUUUAUAUGCAGAUGGACGGCUGCAUGAACAGAAAGACAAUGGUGUCCGGGCUUUGUUGCAUUGCGUUACAGGACGAGAACCUCUUUUAUUUCAUUUCCAGUUUCACUUUUUUCAGAACAUUUCCAGUUUCACUCUGCCUCUCUUUUUUACUUGGCUGGACUAAAGCAAAGUAGCAACAUUUACGUAAACAGAACCGGGUGUUUUCUGCUUUCUUGUUCCUCCAUUGUCUUCUGCUGGUGUGUUGCCUUCACUCGUAUCUCCAAAAGCAAUUUACUGCCCCUCCAAUUCCAUGGAAACUAAUGGUGGAUCUUAUCUACCACCAGUAAAAAUCAAACCCCAAUACUAACUGGUGACCAUAAUUUCCAUUUUCCCCUUCUAUAAGCCCCAUAUCAAUCUCAUUUCUGAACCCUGGUCAUGGGCUUGACCAACAAAAUAUAUGUUAUAUGCCUACAAAAUGUAUCAUCGGAAACUUCUUUCCCAUAUAAAUAUAAUGGUAUACUUUUUCCGUACAAUAUAUACUUUGUUGUUCAAAUCGAGGCUUUCUACCUAUCGUCAGUCCUGCACCAAGGACUAGGCUAGAAAAGUUACAUCCUUUUGAUGUUCUUAUCUUGGCAUGAUGCAAGGCAAAACCAAAAGGGAGAGGUUAUAUUAUUGGCCAUAUUUACUUUGGUUAUUAGUUGAGCACAUCUGGAGCAUCUUUCCGUUGUUGCCUGCCUUUCCAUUGUUAAGAUGCUGGAGGAGACUAACCGUGCUACCGAUGAUAACACGCUUCUUGCUUUGGGUUUGUUUACUUGCCACAUAUGGCAUCAUAAUUAGAUGCAUUAGUAUUUUAUUGCUGCCAAAUGUCGUUGGUACUAAUUCUGGAUUAUUUCAGUCCAGUUCGAGGCUGGCUGCAGCCACGACAUCAACGGCAUCCAUAACAAUCGCGGAUCCUUCGACAUCUGGAUUGACCGCUGCUCCGUCGUCGACUACGACGACGGGCUCAUCGACAUCAUGCGCCAGAGCAUCUACAUUUCUUGUCUCCAGGUCGUUCCCUUCUCUGUUAUUUGUCCCUGCUACUAAGUCACUCACAUGCUUGGUUUCUCUCAACAAGUAUUGUUGAUUAGAUGGGAUCACUGUGUUGUCUGAUGAAAAUAAACGUGUGUGUAUGUGAUUGCAUUUUUUGCAUGAUUGAUAUAUAAUGGUUGCUCCAAUGUACACUGGGUAUGCAUGUAUUCUCCACGAACUUAGAAUUGGCACUCUCUUUUAGACCAGCUCUUCAUUCUUGUAUUUAAGUUGGUACUAAAUCUGGAAGAGGUUUAUUGUAGGUUGAUGUCUUUUCCAUCUCAUAUUUUUCAUCCAUGUAAUACGAACAAAUGCACAUGAUAAAGAGGAGAAUCUUUUCAUGAGCUUCACCAGCCAUUGUACAGAAUAUACAAUGCUGUUUUCUUAUGCAUUUUAAUUACAUUUACAGCUGUAAGUUUGUGACGAUACAAACGGAAGUUGCAUACAGAGUUUCUUAUAUAUACUAUUGUUCUAUCCAUGCUUAACAUAUAAAAAUUUCUGUUCUGUUCAUACUACUUAACAGUCAGCAGUUUAGUCAUCUUACAAAAGUAGACUGUACAUACUCAAAUCAUCAACUAGACACCAGAAAUAUUGACUUCUCUUUGCUCUUUCAUCAGCCAUUUUACUUCAGCAUUCAUAAAUUUGGGUCCUCAAGACAUGUACUCAAUAACAGUACUUUGCUAUCACCAUUAAUAUCAUUAAUAUCCAUAGAACACGCUCUUAUCUUCCAUAUCACACAACAAUUUCUGUCCAUGUAAAUAACUUGCUUUCUUCUACCAGUAUUUUCAGUUUAACUAUACUGAAGAGAACCUAUUGGACUACAUUGAUCCAAACAAUGAUAUACACUCAUGGUCAGACUUGCAGAUGGCAAUCUGCUCGCUGAAUGUCGCAUCAUGCUAGGAACUGAUAAGAGGGCCACUAUAACCACCAACUGGUCUGAGUUUCGCUGCUGCGCCAACAUUCGCGAAGGAGACAUUUGUGCAUUUCAUUUCAGGAUCACUUUAAAGUGCCGCUUUGUUGUCACCAUGCACUGCCUCUGGAUGCACCAUCGAAGACGUUGCCGCCCCUGUGUCAAUAUAAUCUAAUAUAAUGUACCACUAAGCACUCCUAAUUAUGCUAUAUACUGUGAUAACCUAUGGUUUACUUUUGGGCCCUCUUAUCACAUGCUUUUCAAAACGCUAAAUCUAUGUUGUUGCUUAUGUUAAGUGCACUAUUGUCAGUCAGAUGUUUCAUGUUCAGAUCCAUAAUGGGCUUUC